rnacentral:rRNA from 1 species
CGGAACUGCCGGUCAUAAACCGGAGGAAAGGUGGGGGAUGGACGUCAAGUCAGCAUGGCCUUUAUAUCCUGGGCUACACACACGCUACAAUGGGAAGGGACAAUAGGUUGCGAAGCCGCGAGGUGGAGCCAAUCCAGUAAAACUUCCCUCAGUUCAGAUUGCAGGCUGCAACUCGCCUGCAUGAAGUUGGAGUUGCUAGUAAACGCAGGUCAGCCAUACUGCGUUGAAUACGUUCCCGGGGCUU